AAACUCAGAAAAGCGACGGACAGAGUCCUUUAGUUCGUCGCUUUUCUAGAUUUUU
rfam:Solanum tuberosum cultivar DM 1-3 516 R44 scf00263_8, whole genome shotgun sequence.